rnacentral:rRNA from 1 species
CGGCGGACGGGUGAGUAACGCGUAGGAAUCUACCCAGUAGCGGGGGAUAACAAUCGGAAACGGUUGCUAAUACCGCAUACGCCCUAAGGGGGAAAGCAGGGGGAUCUUCGGACCUUGCACUAUCGGAUGAGCCUGCGUCGGAUUAGUUUGUUGGUGAGGUAAUGGCUCACCAAGACGACGAUCCGUAGCUGGUCUGAGAGGAUGAUCAGCCACAUCGGGACUGAGACACGGCCCGA